UUGAACGCUGGCGGCAUGCUUUACACAUGCAAGUCGAACGGCAGCACGGGGGCAACCCUGGUGGCGAGUGGCGAACGGGUGAGUAAUGCAUCGGAACGCGUCCUGUAAUGGGGGAUAACCUACCGAAAGGUAGGCUAAUACCGCAUACGUCCUGAGGGAGAAAGCGGGGGAUCGUAAGACCUCGUGUUAUAGGAGCGGCCGAUGUCGGAUUAGCUAGUUGGUGGGGUAAAGGCCUACCAAGGCGACGAUCCGUAGCGGGUCUGAGAGGACGGCCCGCCACACUGGGACUGAGACACGGCCCAGACUCCUACGGGAGGCAGCAGUGGGGAAUUUUGGACAAUGGGGGCAACCCUGAUCCAGCCAUGCCGCGUGAGCGAAGAAGGCCUUCGGGUUGUAAAGCUCUUUCGGCCGGGAAGAAAUCGUGCGGGCUAAUACCCUGUAUGGAUGACGGUACCGGAAGAAGAAGCACCGGCUAACUACGU
rnacentral:rRNA from 1 species